GGUCCUGCUUUUCCUAAAGCUGUCUGACUUCAGAGGUCAUACAAAGGCCAAUCCAUGUUCCUGCCAAACUGGCUGGGCAGGAUGGAAGGUGGACAAGGAAAACCUGGACCUGCCAGACGUUGCCUCAACGUCCUCUAAAGCUCAAGGACCAGGAGCCACGUAUUAUUAUGAUCAAUAAUAUUGUUAGUCAUACUGGAUGUUAUUAAGAGGCAGAAGCUACGAAGUAGCUAUAGUCUGGAAGUACCACUGAAAUGUAACAUGUGUGCCAGAAGCCAUAAAACAUGUACCUAGAUGACCUGGGGCCACCAAAAAGGCCAAUGAUGGAUUGGGUCAGGUAGAGAUCAAAGUAACUCAGAGAAAAGACUCAAGGCUACGGGUCAGAAGAGAAUCAAGUUCAAACCCCAGCACCUCCACUCCUGAGCUAUGUGGCUUCCAACAAAUUGCUUAAACUGAGAUUUAUGGCCCUCAUCUCAUAAAAUGAUACACUUUCACCCACCCUGCAAGACUGUUAUACACCUAGCACAGGAACAGCCGUGCAACAAGUGAUCGAUAAAUGUUAGUAAUAAUGGUCUUAAAAGGGGAGGAAAUACCUCAAAUAAAAGGUCCAGUGAAAGUGCAAUGACUGUGAAGGAGGAAAAAUAGUGAAUCAGAUCAUCCAUCCUUUUUCCAUUUUGAUGCAGGAAGAGUGUAGGUAAAUCUGCAGGCAGCAGGAGGGUGAAAGCACCCUACAUUAGGCAGAGAUGACCCAAAGGAGGCAGAGAGGUACUGACCAGACCCAGGCCAAACCACAGAAUUCACAGAUUUGCUCAGAGGUCACCCUCCGUGAAAACAAAAACCAUGCACCGAAAUAUUUUUUGUCUUUGGGUUACAAAAAUAGCUCUGUUUCUUCUGUCUUAAAUGUUUUGUUUUGCUUUAAUUGCAGACUUCGUUUCUUUAAAAAUUAACCAUGUCACCUGUAUUAAUAAUAAUAGCAAUUUGUAGUAUCAGAAUCCAUAUGCUGGGGCCAAAAUUAAUGAAGCCAUCACUUCUCAUAUCAAGGAACUAGGAAACAUAAGACAGAACACAACUUCUCUCAUGAAUGUUUGCCCCAUCCAUAAUUUGGUUGCUUUUCUUACCAGGAAGUGAUGUGACAUAAGAGUUUCAUUCAUGGAAAGCCAUCUUAUUUGAUUCUGCAAUAAAAUCAUUUUUCUAAUGACUGUUUUUCCUGCAGUAGACAAAUGUCAUACACAGUUCACAAGAGGAGGGCUCCUGAAAACAACCUUCAGUAGCAAUCCCUGGUAACACAAGCACAGUGUAAGGUCAGAAAACUAACAAGAUUGGCCACAGGGAGAACUGCUUUAAAAGAAUGACAGAAAGUUAAAAGGAAUGGAACGAUAGUAAUUAGGCCCUUGCCCUGAAAAUAAAACCAGGUUUAUAAUACAUUUUAUGUGAAAAAGAUGAAAAGUUCUGGUUUUGACUCCAAGCAGCUACUUCCUGAAAUUAAUCACAGAAAAAAAAAAGGGGGGGAUGGAAGAAAUUUUAUAGUCUUCUUCUUAAGAGAGUAAUUCAAUCAGGUUUUCCAACCUCAUUUUUUACCUUUGGACAUUUUAUGUUAUUAAAAUGUCCUUUUAACUUGAUGACAUGGAUAAUAAAUGGUAUCCUUCCCCUGCUUAGGGGAGAGGGAUGUUUAAAAAAAGCAGGGUCCGUUUUCUUGUGAAUUAGAAUAACUAUUCUCCUACCGAGCAGAUUUUUAAGGAAAUGACAAUCGAUGAGAUCAGAAACUUCAUGAAUGGUAAAAUCCCACUAAUGGCCUAUCUAAAGUUCUGCUCCAAGUUCCAAAAGCAUCUUCAGAGUUUUUUACGUUCUUAUAUACUGAACACAGCAGGCUGAAUUGUGAUACGUCAAACAGAAAGAGAUUCUAUGAAUCUCAGAAAGCAGCAUAAGCUAAUCUAUAAACUACUGAGAGCCAUGCAAACGAGCAUCAACUACCAACUCUCAGAGCAGUGUAUUUGCACUGGUCCAUUAAAGAGUGAGUUAAAGGCAAUUUACAACUCUACAGUGGAGACUAUUAAUCACUAUUGAAAUGUUUAUACCUAAUCUUGAAUCUACCCUUUUUCAGUUCCUAUUAAAUUUAGAAAAUGAAGC